CGGGACGGGUGAGUAACGCGUGGGUAACCUGCCCUGUACAGGGGGAGUAACAGUUAGAAAUGACUGCUAACACCGCAUAAGCGCACGGUAAGGCAUCUUAGUGUGUGAAAAUAUUCAUAGGUACAGGAUGGGCCCGCGUCUGAUUAGCCAGUUGGCAGGGUAACGGCCUACCAAAGCGACGAUCAGUAGCCGGCUUGAGAGAGUGAACGGCCACAUUGGGACUGAGACACGGCCCAAACUCCUACGGGAGGCAGCAG
rnacentral:rRNA from 1 species